rnacentral:lncRNA from 1 species
ACACACAGCAUUUCUACAACCUAGCAUUUCUGGAUGCGUUGCUAUCCUGUUUUGUGGAGAUCACCACAGCAUCUCCAUUGCAACCAAUUGAUUCCACCGAACUUUGGGAGCUUAUAUCCGCGUUCCACUGCAGCAAUUCUCAAUCAUUCAUGGGGCUCAGCGUCACAAGGAACACUUUGAUUCUCCUCAAUCAUCUUUUUCACUUUGCCGUGCGGUGUAAAAGAUGGGAGGAUGUUUGGCUUGUUGAGAGCCGGAUGAUCUGGUUCCCGCUGCUCUUCGCAAGCCGUGAUGUAAUUGUACAGGCCUCAGCUUUCCAGUUGGCCAGCGGUCUGACAAGCUCAAGAGCGGGUGCCGAAUUUAUGUUGACUGCAGUUGAUGGUCUUUGGAGCACGUCUUUAGGUGUUCUUAUGAAUCAUCAAGAAGCGAGUGUUGUAAGAGAGAAUGCAGGCAUGAUCUGCUCCAACAUCAUAAGCCAUGGAACCAAAGAAGCCUAGACCAUGGAGUAUGAAGGAAGCUGGCCAGAAGAUGCUCCAUUAUAAGAUUUGUAAGAAAACCUACUGUCAUUAUGACAACCUGCAGUUGAAAAUUCCUAAUCAAAAUAACAGGUUCUUUUUGUAGAACAUUAUCUUACAUCCUCAGCAGCAGAAGUACUUCGGUUGAAUUAUUCUCUUCCAGGAAAGGAAAAAACCAAAGAUCUGGUUGAGUAAUGAUUUUUACUGCACUAUUUUUUGCUCUUAAAAAAAUUGAUCUCAAUAAAAUAUACUUUGAAAUUAUUAAAGUUUUGUUAAAGGCCAACGCAUUCCAAUGCAUGUGUGAAUACUUUAACUUUACCACAAAUUUUCAAGAGUUUAAGUUAUACUAACAGAGAAUCAGUGAUUUUGUCAUCGAAAUUAAAGCUGUUCUUCUCAUGUUUAUCAUAUUUUAAUAUUUCCUUCAUUAUCUGAAUUUCAGUUCUAUGCUGAAUAGAACACCAAACAGGGUAUGACUGAAAGCACCACAAUGUUCCCUCGUCAAAAUAUCACGAGGAACACAAUUAUAUAUUCGGAACUAUGUAUUAGCUUGAAACGGAAAAAUUAGCAUUUAUAGUCUACAUUGGAAUCGGUCAAUGAGUCACUAAACCAUGAACGAAUUUUGACUUGCGAAUAUAGUUUUCUGAAGGAAAAUGACACGUAUAACACGAUGCGAACAUUAAAAACGCGAGCAAGCAACUCAAUCACCGAGGAAUGCGCAGUUCAAAUCGCUCAACUUAUACGCAAAUUUAAAACGCCCCGGUUUCGCGCCGCACCGAAUGAUGUCAUCCGGCACCAAUCAGAGGCGGGCACGGGUUUCCACAACGUCCGUCAAAUGUCUAUCUACUCUUCGUAUGUGAGAGCAAUACUAAAGUCGAAAUUAUAUCUUUUGAAUUCAAGACUAGAAUCUCAUUCAUAUGUUAGCUGUAAUUAACAAGCAACAACUCCACAUUGAAAUACGUUUUAUUUUAACAAACAUCCAAGGAAAAUGAGAGAAGAUUGCGAUAUGACUACCGCACAACCGCCUCAGUUUCCCGCCAUUCGGGUGCGUUUGAAAUGUCAUGCAGUUUUUGGAUUUUUCAAAAGCGGUUUUCUCCGCGAUUUUGGCUCCAUGAAAAUGCGGAAAAAUCACCACGUUAUCUCCUCACAUAGUACUUUCAGAAUAUUCAAUAAAAUAAACAAGCUUUAGUGACCCAUUUAUACUUCCUGCUCAUGAUACAACCAAAAUUAAUUUAGCCAUGGAAAAAAAUAAAGAUAAUUCAGCUACUAAGAGAAGAUCAUGAUCUCCAAAUAUGUGCAAUUUUUUUUUAAAGCAUGAUUUCGAGGACCUGGAAAACUCAAAAAAUACUUGAAUCUAUCUGGGAAUGAAACAUAUCAGGGAAAAUUAGGAAAAUUUAAUGGCCAUAGCAGGAACAUUCCUCUCUUUUUGCUCUGAGAUUAUACUAUUUUUCUUAACUGGUUGUCUGCUUGACUUGAAAAUAGAAAUCAGACUAAAUGUAGCUAAGUUGAUUUUCGUCCUGAAACCUGAAGGAAAAUCUUGUUUCCCCCCAAGAAAAGUUAGAGAUUAAUGAUCAGAAAUCCCUGGUUUUCAUCCGGGAAUAUUUCCAAGGAAAUUAGAAAGAAAUAAGUUAUUAUCAGGGAAUGGAAAAAAUCAUGAAUUCUAGACACUACAUUUUAAAUAAAACAGCUUAAGGUGUCACUUAAAAACUUUUUGUGCAUAAAAAAAUCUACCAAAAAUUUAAAGAUAAACUGAUAGUUGGAUGGAGUUAAGUUAAACAGUCACAUUACAUGCAGUGUUUCAAAAUCUCAUCGGUUCUAAAUUUUUGGGGAAAAACCAACCGAAAUUAAUGCUUGAAAUUUUGUGAAACUUAACUUCAUGAGAGUAAGAAAAUUUACAACAAAUUUCGAGUGGGAGUGUUGGUUUGUUUCCCUGUACAAAAUUAAAAUGGGAGAUGGGAUUCUGAAACACCACUUGUGAGUGUGACUAAUUUGCUUGAUUAUUCUCUCUACUUAGUCUUUUUUGAAAAACUAAAACGUGAGUGGAGAUUCACAACAUAACACUCAGAUUUAUCCAUUAUAUUUUCACUUUAGCCAUCAAGAUAUAUUCCAAGUUUACAUCUUACUUACAGUCUUUGCUCUUCCUUUCAUGACACUAAGUAAGUAACCAGUUGUUCUGCUUUUUGAUGUGGUAAAAAAAAUUGAACCUUCCGGAAACUUUCUAUCUUCUGAUCGUUUCCCUCGCCGAUGCUCUUUCCUUUUAUUAACAUUUUUGACAAAUGGAAAUUAUGUGGAAAAAUAUUUUAUAUAAAAAAUGUUUCUGUUUUAGGAGCCCUUUCUCUGUUUUCUUUACUCAGUUUACUUCUUAUAUCUCAGUGUUAUUCAUGUACAGUUAUCUUAGUCAAAUCUUACAUGGAUUUCUAAAUGUAUCCAUAAAUCAAAUAUAUAAAAUGCUUAUUGUCGAUAAAAUAGGAAAUUCUGUGUUUUCACUUUAUUGCCUCAUUGCAAG